GUACUCUGUGGCAGCACAUAUGGUUAAAUUCGAGUGAUAUAGAGAAGAUUAGCACAGCCCCUGCACAAGGAUGACACAAAAAUUUGUGGAGUGUUCUGGUUUAAA
ensembl:snRNA LOC120101182 U6 spliceosomal RNA